rnacentral:rRNA from 1 species
UACGUAGGGGCCUAGCGUUGUCCGGAUUUAUUGGGCGUAAAGAGCUCGUAGGCGGUUCGGCAAGUCGGAUGUGAAAUCUCCACGCUUAACGUGGAGGGGCCAUUCGAAACUGCCGUGACUCGAGUCCGGUAGGGGAGUGUGGAAUUCCCGGUGUAGCGGUGAAAUGCGCAGAUAUCGGGAGGAACACCAGUAGCGAAGGCGGCACUCUGGGCCGGUAUUGACGCUGAGGCGCGAAAGCUAGGGGAGCAAACGGG